GAUGAACGCUAGCGAUAGGCCUAACACAUGCAAGUCGAGGGGCAUCACAUGAAGUAGCAAUACGGAUGGUGGCGACCGGCGCACGGGUGAGUAACACGUAUGCAACCUGCCUUCAACAAGGGGAUAACCCGUUGAAAGACGGACUAAUACCCUAUAACACAGGGGUCCCGCAUGGGGAUAUUUGUUAAAGGACAACCGGUUGAAGAUGGGCAUGCGUUCCAUUAGCUAGUUGGCGGGGUAAGGGCCCACCAAGGCAACGAUGGAUAGGGGAACUGAGAGGUUUAUCCCCCACACUGGUACUGAGACACGGACCAGACUCCUACGGGAGGCAGCAGUGAGGAAUAUUGGUCAAUGGACGCAAGUCUGAACCAGCCACGUCGCGUGAAGGAAGACGGCCCUACGGGUUGUAAACUUCUUUUAUACGGGAAUAAAGUGCCCCACGCGUGGGGUUUUGCAUGUACCGUAUGAAUAAGGAUCGGCUAACUACGUG
rnacentral:rRNA from 1 species